rnacentral:lncRNA from 10 species
CACGGGGUGAGGCUGCAGCCAACUCCGCUCCCCGCGCACUCGGCUGCCCAGGCGCUCGGAACCCAGCAGCGGCGCUCCUCCGCGGUGCCGGUCGCCCGCGAUGCCCGCUUAGCAGCGUGUAGCAGCGGCCAGCAUCACCACACCCGCGGCACCGCGCUGCCGGCCGCAGAGCCGGGCCAGAGCCUUGCACCCCUGCCCCAGCCCCCACCCCGCCCCCCGCCCUGAAAUGACUUGUUAAUCGGCGCAGACACCACCAAGGGGACUCACCGAAGUGGAAUCCAAGUGGAAUUUGGAUUUGGAGAAGAGUUUCUUGAACAUUUACCCUCUUCCUUGUUGGUUUUCUUUUUCUUUUUCUUCUUUUUUUUUUUGGCUUCUUUUUUCCUCUCCCCUUCUCCGCUCGUCAUUGGAGAUGAACACAUCGCGUUUGCAUCCCAGAAAGUAGUCGCCGCGACUAUUUCCCCCAAAGAGACAAGCACACAUGUAGGAAUGACAAAGGCUUGCGAAGGAGAGAGCGCAGCCCGCGGCCCGGAGAGAUCCCCUCGAUAAUGGAUUACUAAAUGGGAUACACGCUGUACCAGUUCGCUCCGAGCCCCGGCCGCCUGUCCGUCGAUGCACCGAAAAGUAUAUCUGCUGUUGAGGAUCCUGCACUUGGAGACAAGAAGACCUGAGUUCCAGACUCUCACUACCUUGGACAAGUCACUUAACUUCUCUGUGGCUGCAUUAUUUUAAUUGAAAAUUAUAAAUAGUAAACCUAUUCUUCCUAACUUAUAGGAUUACUGGGAAAAUAAUACGAAAUCAUGAAUGUGAAUGUAUUUAGUGAAAUAUUACACGCAUUGUGGAAAUUUGGGAAGUUUGAUGUUAACCCCCUCUUUCCCACUCUGGACCCUGGAUAUAACAGAGAUCCUACUUCAUCUUCUAAAUUAUUUUUGGUAGAAUAUACACUGUUCAUGUAGUUUUAAUGUAAAUCACAUUAUGCAACUAAAUAAUAUGUUCAAAUUCAUUGAAAUUGUACAGUUCACCUAGAGCAUGGAUAGCAACUUUAUUAAUUAGAACACCUACCAUGUCAAGGAAACAUUGCUUUCAACAUUAUCAUUAAAUCAGGCAAGGUCAUAGGAGUACCAUUCUGCCAGGAAUUAGUUUAAAAGUAAGAUAAUUGUUUUUGCUCAGUUAAAUUCUGAAAUAGUUCAAAUCAGUGUAACGAUUAAUAUGUCAGGGUGAACCAGGACUAGUAGAAGUUUCCAUCUUUGUCAUAACAAGGCCGAAUUCGUUAGAUCUUGUGGCGUGAGGUUAAUAAAUGUGAAGGGACCGUUGGAGGGAAGGUAGUGGACAACUCUAGAGGCAUUGCGGAGGUCAUGCUUUUUUGACAGACAAUGCACGUGGAUUUGUUUUGCCAUUUACCAACAGUGUGACUUUAUGCCAGUUUCCUUUCUCCUUCAGUUUUCAUUUGCAAAGUGCUAGUAUGAUGAUAAUGUUAUGGUUUUGAGAAGAAUAAAUGUGCUAACAUCUG